AACGAACGCUGGCGGCAUGCCUAACACAUGCAAGUCGAACGGGAUCCGGACUUCGGUCCGGUGAGAGUGGCGGACGGGUGAGUAACACGUGGGAACCUGCCUUUUGGUUCGGGAUAACCGCGGGAAACUGCGGCUAAUACCGGAUGCUCCCGAGAGGGAAAAGAUUUAUCGCCAGAAGAGGGGCCCGCGUCCGAUUAGGUAGUUGGUGGGGUAAUGGCCUACCAAGCCGACGAUCGGUAGCUGGUCUGAGAGGAUGAUCAGCCACACUGGGACUGAGAUACGGCCCAGACUCCUACGGGAGGCAGCGGUGGGGAAUAUUGGACAAUGGGGGGCAACCCUGAUCCAGCAAUGCCGCGUGAGUGAUGAAGGCCUUAGGGUUGUAAAGCUCUUUUGCCAGGGAAGAUGAUGACUGUACCUGGAGAAUAAGCCCCGGCUAACUUCGUGCCAGCAGCCGCGGUAAU
rnacentral:rRNA from 1 species